AUUUAAAAAACUGCUUGAUAAGCUAAUCUUAUGUCAAAUAAAAAUGUCUUCUCAUUUUAAAUAAGUAUAAUGUCUGCUUGAUAAGCUUGCUUCUCUUCUUCAUUUUGCCUCUCUUCAAUUGAUCCCUCGAAGUACCCCCGCCGCCGUGCCGCCGCCGCCGUGCCGCCGCCGCCGCGUAGCUGCCGCCGCGCAUCUCCCUCUCCUUGCUUAUCUCCGGCGUGUUCUUCUUUGUCGGUGCCAUCGGGAUCGUCUUCGCCAUUGUCGUGCUCUUUCGCCCCCCCCGAGGACACGCUUAGGAACUUCCGGUCAAGAUCUAGCGUUGGUGGCGGUGUUGGGUUGGAGGAUCGGCCGAAGCUGCUGGGCUUCGUCGGGGUGCAGACGGGGUUUGGAUCCGCUGAUCGUCGGGUUGCGCUUCGGAGCACUUGGUUCCCUUCCGAUCCGGAGGCUCUAGCUUGGCUUCGAAGCGGGGUUUUUGCUGGAGGAAAACCCAAUAAGGAAUUGAUUGUCUUGAGGCAUUUUGAAUUGUUGUAGGAAAGAAAUGAACCACUGGGGGAGACUCUUGUUCUCUUCAUCAAUCAUCACCAAGGUCUGUAGAGAGUCAACCUUCUCGACACAUGCCAGCUUUGAGCAAUCAAUGACUUCCAAUUCUCUCAAUGCAGGGAGAUCAGAGACCCUCGAAAGUUUGGCAGCUUGUUUGAUGUGCAAUUUUGGGAUGCGAUUCAGGCCUUUGGGAAGAUCUUUAAGCUUGGGACAAUUUUUAAUGGCAAUACGAAUAAGACGAGGGAAGAGCAAUAGGCUGCUAGAUUCAAGCUCGUUUUCUUCCUCUCCACUCAUUAGUGACCAUGCCUCCCAAUUGGUCAUAUUCCAAAUUAUUAAGUAUUCAAGCUUGGGGAAGGCACUUUUUGCAUGUUCUCCAUUGCCAAGAAAUUCAGGACCAAUUGGCAGUUGGCCAAGCUGGGGAAACUGAGAGCAGUUGGUGCAACGACCAAUUAUCAAACAGUUCAAUUCAAGAAAAGCAGUACUAAUUGAAGUGGAUGUCAGCCACUUUGGUUAUAUAAACAUCAUGAUUCUAAUCAACAAUAAUUAGGCACUUACAGGUUAUAUAAAUAUACAAAGGAGUGAUGAUUUAUACAUACCAGUCAUGUCUUGAACAAGAUUGGUUUCAUAGGAAUACGGUUCCUAAGUGUACUUCAAAUACAUGCUUCUCCCUUUUGCAUAUGCUACCAAGCGGGGUACUUGCUGGAGGAACAACCAAUAUGGAGACCGUUGCAAACACCCAUGGAGUGCUUGUACAGUGCACUCCAAAUACAAGCAAAAAUGAUCUUCAUGAGGUUUUUCACGUUGUUGGAGAAAUGAGAUAAGCCACUCGGAGACUUCUGCUCUCUUCAUCAAUAAGCUUCAAGCUCUGCAAAGAGUCAAGCUUCUCCACAAGCAAUCAACAACUUCCUACUCUCUCAAGGAAGGGAGACCAGAGACCCUUGAAAGACUGACAACCUUCGAUUUGCAAUUCUUUGAUGUUGGUAUGUUUCAAGCUUCUUGGAAGAGCUUUCAACUUGGGGCAGUCGAAAAUAGAAAAUUUCUUUAGACUCCUUUUUGUCUUCUCACUUAGUCAUGUUCAACAGUAGUUGAGGGCAACUCGAGCAAUUAACAAGCUGUAAACCAGUCAAUUCAUGAAGAGUUGUACUGAUGGAAGUGGAUGACAUCCACUUUGGAUACUAGUUGCCAAAAAAGCCCCUAAUUAUUUGAGAAUGAAUCAAUUUCUUCAGAUUA